UUAGAGUUUGAAUCCUGGCUCAGAUUGAACGCUGGCGGCAGGCCUAACACAUGCAAGUCGAGCGGUAGAGAGAAGCUUGCUUCUCUUGAGAGCGGCGGACGGGUGAGUAAUGCCUAGGAAUCUGCCUGGUAGUGGGGGAUAACGUUCGGAAACGGACGCUAAUACCGCAUACGUCCUACGGGAGAAAGCAGGGGACCUUCGGGCCUUGCGCUAUCAGAUGAGCCUAGGUCGGAUUAGCUAGUUGGUGAGGUAAUGGCUCACCAAGGCGACGAUCCGUAACUGGUCUGAGAGGAUGAUCAGUCACACUGGAACUGAGACACGGUCCAGACUCCUACGGGAGGCAGCAGUGGGGAAUAUUGGACAAUGGGCGAAAGCCUGAUCCAGCCAUGCCGCGUGUGUGAAGAAGGUCUUCGGAUUGUAAAGCACUUUAAGUUGGGAGGAAGGGCAGUUACCUAAUACGUGAUUGUUUUGACGUUACCGACAGAAUAAGCACCGGCUAACUCUGUGCCAGCAGCCGCGGUAAUACAGAGGGUGCAAGCGUUAAUCGGAAUUACUGGGCGUAAAGCGCGCGUAGGUGGUUAGUUAAGUUGGAUGUGAAAUCCCCGGGCUCAACCUGGGAACUGCAUUCAAAACUGACUGACUAGAGUAUGGUAGAGGGUGGUGGAAUUUCCUGUGUAGCGGUGAAAUGCGUAGAUAUAGGAAGGAACACCAGUGGCGAAGGCGACCACCCUGGACUGAUACUGACACUGAGGUGCGAAAGCCGUGGGAGCAA
rnacentral:rRNA from 1 species